GACGAACGCUGGCGGCGUGCUUAACACAUGCAAGUCGAACGGACAGGCCCUGCUUUUGUUGGUUGCUCGAGUGGCGAACGGGUGAGUAACACGUGAGUAUCCUGCCCUUGACUUUCUGGUAACUUCACGAAACUGCGGCUCAUACCGGAUAUAAUCUCCUGCUGCAUGUUGUGGAUUGGAAAGUUUCGGCGGUUGUGGCUGGUCUCGCUGCUUAUCAGCUUGUUGGUGUGGUAGUGGCUUACCAAGUCUUAGACGGCUAGCCGACCUGAGAGGUGGACCGGCGACAUGGGGACUGAGAGACGGCCCAGACGCCUACGGGAGGCAGAAGGCGGGAGUAUGACACAGCGGGGGGAAGCCUGAGGCAGCAACGUCGCGAGCGGGAAGACGGCUUACGAGGGGUAAACCGCUUUGGACGGAAACGAAGAGGGAGUGACGGUAAUGGGUAAAGAAGCAACGGCUAACUACGUG
rnacentral:rRNA from 1 species